rnacentral:rRNA from 1 species
UACGAAGGGGGCUAGCGUUGCUCGGAAUCACUGGGCGUAAAGCGCACGUAGGCGGCUUUCUAAGUCAGGGGUGAAAUCCUGGAGCUCAACUCCAGAACUGCCUUUGAUACUGGGAAGCUCGAGUCCGGAAGAGGUGAGUGGAACUCCGAGUGUAGAGGUGAAAUUCGUAGAUAUUCGGAAGAACACCAGUGGCGAAGGCGGCUCACUGGUCCGGUACUGACGCUGAGGUGCGAAAAGCGGUGGGGGAGCAAACAGGG